rnacentral:rRNA from 1 species
AGCAAAAGAAGGGCGUAUGGGGAAUGCCUAGGCUCUCAGAGGCGAUGAAGGACGUGAUAAGCUGCGAUAAGCUACACUGAGAGGCAAAUACUCGUUGAGGUGUAGAUUUCCGAAUGGGGUAACCCGGUAUUGUGAAGCAAUAUCAUCCGAAAGGAAGCAUACCCGGAGAACUGAAACAUCUAAG